CCAAAGGCUCUUUUCAGAGCCGCCCACAUUUUCACAUAAAGCAGCU
rfam:Erinaceus europaeus unplaced genomic scaffold scaffold00740, whole genome shotgun sequence